rnacentral:rRNA from 1 species
CCUACGGGUGACAGCAGUGGGGAAUAUUGCACAAUGGGGGAAACCCUGAUGCAGCGACGCCGCGUGAGUGAAGAAGUAUUUCGGUAUGUAAAGCUCUAUCAGCAGGGAAGAAAAUGACGGUACCUGAUUAAGAAGCACCGGCUAACUACGUGCCAGCAGCCGCGGGAAUACGUAGGGGGCAAGCGUUAUCCGGAUGUACUGGGUGUAAAGGGAGCGUAGACGGCAGCACAAGUCUGGAGUGAAAUGCCGGGGCUUAACCCCGGAACUGCUUUGGAAACUGUGCAGCUAGAGUGCAGGAGAGGUAAGUGGAAUUCCUAGUGUAGCGGUGAAAUGCGUAGAUAUUAGGAGGAACACCAGUGGCGAAGGCGGCUUACUGGACUGUAACUGACGUUGAGGCUCGAAAGCGUGGGGAGCAAACAGGAUUAGAUACCCCUGUAGUC